AAGUGGAGCAAUCCAUGAGUAAAGUGGCGUACGGGUGAGUAACACGUGACUAACCUACCCUCGAGUGGGGAAUAACUUCGGGAAACCGAGGCUAAUACCGCAUAACAUCUACGGAUCAAAUGCGUAAGCAGCUUGAGGAGGGGGUCGCGGCUGAUUAGCUAGUUGGCGGGGUAAUGGCCCACCAAGGCAAUGAUCAGUAGCCGGCCUGAGAGGGCGCACGGCCACACUGGAACUGAAACACGGUCCAGACUCCUACGGGAGGCAGCAGUGGGGAAUUUUGCGCAGUGGGGGAAACCCUGACGCAGCAACGCCGCGUGGAGGAUGAAGCCCCUUGGG
rnacentral:rRNA from 1 species